AAGGCACCGCUAGAGAAAAACCAUGAAGCACUAGACUCGCAAGGCGGGAGAAGCGCUGUACUCGACGCAAUGGAAUUAAUCGAUCCCAAGGCGAGUGAACAAGUUCUGGAGCUCAUUGUCAAAAUAGCGGAACAUCCGGCUAUUUGAAAACAGAUCCAUCGAGUCUUGGAAACUCUGGAAGCGAACAAUGCCGCCUACUCUCAAAGGAUUGAUGCCACUCGCAGUGAAUUAGGUUGGAUAAAUAAAAGAUUGGAU